AAGUCGAGCGAAGCGCUUAAAGGAAGUUUCGGAUGGAAUUAAAGUGACUGAGCGGCGGACGGGUGAGUAACGACGUGGGUAACCUGCCUCAGUACAGGGGGAUAACAGUUGGAAACGACUGCUAAUACCGCAUAAGCACACAGUGCUGCAUAGCACAGUGUGAAAAACUCCGGUGGUAUGAGAUGGACCCGCGUCUGAUUAGGUAGUUGGUGGGGUAACGGCCCACCAAGCCGACGAUCAGUAGCCGACCUGAGAGGGUGACCGGCCACAUUGGGACUGAGACACGGCCCAAACUCCUACGGGAGGCAGCAGUGGGGAAUAUUGGACAAUGGGGGAAACCCUGAUCCAAGCGACGCCGCGUGAGUGAAGAAGUGUUUCGGCAUGUAAAGCUCUAUCAGCAGGGAAGAAAAUGACGGUACCUGACUAAGAAGCCCCGGCUAACUACGUGCCAGCCGCCGC
rnacentral:rRNA from 1 species